AUUGAACGCUGGCGGAAUGCUUUACACAUGCAAGUCGAACGGCAGCACGGACUUCGGUCUGGUGGCGAGUGGCGAACGGGUGAGUAAUGUAUCGGAACGUGCCCAGUCGUGGGGGAUAACGUAGUGAAAAUUACGCUAAUACCGCAUACGAUCUAUGGAUGAAAGCGGGGGAUCGCAAGACCUCGCGCGAUUGGAGCGGCCGAUAUCAGAUUAGGUAGUUGGUGGGGUAAAGGCUCACCAAGCCAACGAUCUGUAGCUGGUCUGAGAGGACGGCCAGACACGUGGGACCGGAGACACGGCCAAGACUCAUACGGGAGGAAGCAUUGGUGAAUUUUGGACAAUGGACGCAGGUCUGAUCCAGCAUUCCCGGGGGCAGGAGGAGGGCCCUCGGGUUGAAAACUGCUUUUGUACGAAACGAAAAGUUUCCCAUUAAUACUGGGAGCUAAUGAGGGUACCGUAAAAAAAACCACCGGCUAACUACGAGCAAGCAGCCGCGGUAA
rnacentral:rRNA from 1 species